GUGGGGAAUCUUCCGCAAUGGACGAAAGUCUGACGGAGCAACGCCGCGUGAGUGAUGAAGGUCUUCGGAUUGUAAAGCUCUGUUAAUCGGGACGAAAGAGCCUAGUGUGAAUAAUGCUAGGAAGUGACGGUACCGGAAUAGAAAGCCACGGCUAACUACGUGCCAGCAGCCGCGGUAAUACGUAGGUGGCAAGCGUUGUCCGGAAUUAUUGGGCGUAAAGCGCGCGCAGGCGGAUCUGCCAGUCUGUCUUAAAAGUUCGGGGCUUAACCCCGUGAUGGGAUGGAAACUACAGAGCUAGAGUAUCGGUGAGGAAAGUGGAAUUCCUAGUGUAGCGGUGAAAUGCGUAGAUAUUAGGAAGAACACCAGUGGCGAAGGCGACUUUCUGGACGAAAACUGACGCUGAGGCGCGAAAGCCAGGGGAGCGAACGGGAUUAGAUACCCGAGUAGUCC
rnacentral:rRNA from 1 species